rnacentral:rRNA from 1 species
UACAGAGGUCCCAAGCGUUGUUCGGAUUCAUUGGGCGUAAAGGGCUCGUAGGCGGCCAACUAAGUCGGAUGUGAAAUCCCCAGGCUUAACUUGGGAACUGCAUCCGAUACUGGAUGGCUUGAAUCCGGGAGAGGGAUGCGGAAUUCCAGGUGUAGCGGUGAAAUGCGUAGAUAUCUGGAGGAACACCGGUGGCGAAGGCGGCAUCCUGGACCAACACUGACGCUGAUGAGCGAAAGCCAGGGGAGCAAACGGG